ACCAUAUUUAAAGCAAAGUCCCCACAACAGAGGAGCCAAGAGCCCUUAAAGCCCUUGAACAGAGUCCUAGUUACUUGGAAGUGAGUUAUAAGUAGGACUGCAGUGCCACAAGCAUUUCAUCAAGACUUUGAAGUCAUGAGGCAAAUGACA